CCUACGGGGGGCAGCAGUGGGGAAUAUUGCACAAUGGGGGAAACCCUGAUGCAGCGACGCCGCGUGAGCGAUGAAGUAUUUCGGUAUGUAAAGCUCUAUCAGCAGGGAAGAAAAUGACGGUACCUGACUAGGAAGCACCGGCGAACUACGUGCCAACAGCCGCGGGGAUACGUAGGGGGCAAGCGUUAUCCGGAUUUACUGGGUGGAAAUGGAGCGUAGACGGCUGUGCAAGCUAGAUGGGAAAGCCCGGGGCUCAACCCCGGGACUGCAUUUGGAACUGUGCGGCUGGAGUGUCGGAGAGGCAGGCGGAAUUCCUGGUGUAGCGGUGAAAUGCGUAGAUAUUAGGAGGAACACCAGUGGCGAAGGCGGCCUGCUGGACGAUGACUGACGUUGAGGCUCGAAAGCGUGGGGAGCAAACAGGAUUAGAUACCCUAGUAGUA
rnacentral:rRNA from 1 species